rnacentral:lncRNA from 1 species
GAAAGUAACAAAAUGAACAUACUCCCGCUUUUUAAAGUUGUCCUACUGAGCACAUUAGCUUUUCGUGACUUGUGGCAUAUAAGAGAAUUGUUCAGAGGCAAGGCUGAGACUUUGUGUUUUGAUCUUUUACAUUUCCCUUUUAUUCUUUAGUUCUUAGAAUGGUAACAAAUUAUAUGUUAUUGAUGAUUUUACAGUGUGUAUAUUGGCCAGUGCAAGUAAUCCUACACUUGUAUUGAUCAGCAGCGAUGGCUCAUAAUCUAUAUUAUUCUCUCUGAGGGAAGCCAACUGCCAUGCUGUGGGACCACUCAGACACCCUGUGGAGAAGGCCACGUGGUGAAGAACCAAAAGGUCUCUGGUCAACAACCAGGGAAAAACUGAGGCC